rnacentral:snRNA from 1 species
UGGCACUCACUGGUGUGAUGAU